rnacentral:lncRNA from 1 species
GCUUUGUUCCAGAGGCCAGGGGAAGCUCUGGAGGGAAGCAAUCUCCAAGUGUGGAGGGAUCUUUCAUUGAGACAAAACAACAAAAGUCAUAUAUCAGGCAACAGUUUCCAGUUUUAGUUCAAACACAGAGCUGAUUGACCUUGAGAUGAAGCAUCUAAAUACCGAACACUGAGCACCGGAAGUGUCAUGCGAGGUUAGGGGACUUUCAUGUCACAACACAGUCAGACAUAUCAGGGACAAGCCUAUUGCAUGAAAGAACACAGAACUAAGGCCAGGUCUCAGAUGACAUCUCUCCUUCAAAGCCAGUACCAACAGUCCUACAGCUAUUAACCCUACUCUGCUCCUGCACUACCAAACCAGUGGGUGAAAAAAGAAUAAACUUCAUUCCUCUGAAGACUCAGCAUUUUAUUAAUCACUCAGAAAAGAUUGUUUCCUAGGCAGAGAUCUGAUCGGCUGUUUUAAUAAUACCCAGUGUUCUGAGGGACGGCUGCUCCUUGUGAAAGACUGCUGUAACUUCAGGCACAUGUGACAAAACCUGGGUGAAUUAUUAGACCAUUUCAUGCUGGUUUGCAGAGUGAUUAAAACAAGUGGCCUUGAAUGAUAGCAUAUGUUAUAAAGAGAUGGGC